rnacentral:rRNA from 1 species
GAUGAACGCUAGCGGCAGGCUUAAUACAUGCAAGUCGAGGGGUAGCAAGAUUGUAGCAAUACAAUUGUUGACGACCGGCAAACGGGUGCGGAACACGUACACAACCUUCCUACAAGUGGGGAAUAGCCCAGAGAAAUUUGGAUUAAUACCCCGUAACAUAGCGAUGUGGCAUCACAUUGCUAUUAUAGCUUCGGCGCUUGUUGAUGGGUGUGCGGCUGAUUAGAUAGUUGGCGGGGUAACGGCCCACCAAGUCUACGAUCAGUAGCUGAUGUGAGGGCAUGAUCAGCCACACGGGCACUGAGACACGGGCCCGACUCCUACGGGAGGCAGCAGUAAGGAAUAUUGGACAAUGGACGCAAGUCUGAUCCAGCCAUGCCGCGUGAAGGAUUAAGGUCCUCUGGAUUGUAAACUUCUUUUAUAAGGGACGAAAAAAGGUCUUUCUAAAUCGUCUGACGGUACCAUAUGAAUAAGCACCGGCUAACUCCGUGCCAGCCGCCGCGGUAAGAC